GCCUGUGAGUCUGUUAAGCAGGAGGAAGAGGAGCUGAGAGCUUCAGGGAGGAGCUGAGCUGUUACUAAACUAUAGAAGAGACACAAACUUCCACAUUCAACACAGUUCAAACAUUACCUCUGAUCAUCAUGGACUAUUAUGGACUUUCCUUAUUUAUCUUCUCACUUCUAACAGGUAUCAGCUGUGACUACCUGACUCCUCGUGAGGGAAGAGUCUUCAGCUCAGAAAAAAGUUCUGUUAUUCUGCGCUACAAUUAUUCAAGACAAGUUUCCAAUGAUUAUUUCUUUUGGUAUCGACAAUAUCCUGGAAAACCUCCAGAGUUCCUGGUCUCUCUCUCAGCGACGGGAUCAUUGACAUCUCAGCAGGUUCCUGGUUUGUCCUUUACAAUGAGUGAUGAUAAAACCCAGAUGGACCUGCUGAUCUCCUCUGCUGCAGUGACAGACUCUGCUGUGUACUACUGUGCUGUGAGGCCCACAGUGACAGGAAACACCAGAACUCUGUACAAAAACCUGCAAUACUCCACUACAUCCACUAGAGGGCCUCACACACAUUUCCUAAACUGACAGUUGAAUUAGAAGACUGUUGACACAUACUCCAGAGAUAAGA